UACGUAGGUGGCAAGCGUUGUCCGGAAUUAUUGGGCGUAAAGCGCGCGCAGGCGGCCUUUUAAGUCUGAUGUGAAAGCCCACGGCUCAACCGUGGAAGGUCAUUGGAAACUGAAAGGCUUGAGUACAGAAGAGGAAAGCGGAAUUCCACGUGUAGUGGUGAAAUGCGUAGAGAUGUGGAGGAACACCAGUGGCGAAGGCGGCUUUCUGGUCUGUAACUGACGCUGAGGCGCGAAAGCGUGGGGAGCAAACAGG
rnacentral:rRNA from 1 species